UACAGAGGUCCCAAGCGUUGUUCGGAUUUAUUGGGCGUAAAGAGCGUGUAGGCGGCCAGGUAGGUCUGCUGUGAAAACUCGAGGCUUAACCUCGAGCUGUCGGCGGAAACCAUCUGGCUAGAGUCCGGAAGAGGAGAAUGGAAUUCCCGGUGUAGCGGUGAAAUGCGCAGAUAUCGGGAAGAACACCCGUGGCGAAGGCGGUUCUCUGGGACGGUACUGACGCUGAGACGCGAAAGCGUGGGGAGCGAACAGG
rnacentral:rRNA from 1 species